AACGAACGCUGGCGGCAUGCCUAACACAUGCAAGUCGAACGAGACCUUCGGGUCUAGUGGCGCACGGGUGCGUAACGCGUGGGAACCUGCCCUUAGGUUCGGAAUAACUCCUCGACAGGGGUGCUAAUACCGGAUAAUGUCUUCGGACCAAAGAUUCAUCGUCUUUGGAUGGGCGGGCGUUGGAUUAGCUGGUUGGUAGGGUAAAAGCCUACCAAGGCGAGGAUCCAUAGCUGGUCAGAGAGGAUGGGCAGCGACACUGGGACGAGGCAGCGGCCGGGAAUAUUGGGGAAGGGGGGAAAGGGGGAUACAGAAAAACGGCGGAAGGGAUGAAGGAGCAAGGGUGGGAGAGUGAUGAAGUCGGGAGAGAAGAAAAGCAGUUUUACCCGGGGUGGUAAUGACGGUACCGAAAGAAUAAGCACCGGCUAACUCCGUG
rnacentral:rRNA from 1 species